AAUUAAUUAUUGUAAUUAAGUAAUGGUUGCUUCUCUUCACCAAGACAUGAUGCUUUUCCAGCAGGUCUAAGAGUCCUUGUUGUUGAUGAUGACCCAACAUGGCUUAGGAUCCUUGAAAAGAUGCUCAAGAAGUGUUCCUAUGAAGGCAUGACUGGUCCAAGGCGGUAGAAAUCUUAGUAAAGGAUUUGAAAGUGUUUGCUACUUUUAAUAAAGAAUUGUUCAAGGAAAUCACACAGCUUUUGACAUUUAGGUUUGAGUAUAUAUAUUGGCAUCUUGUGGGUUUUGGUGUUAUUGUUAUCCAAAAAGUGAGCAUUGAUAGGAUUUCGAACAAUUUCCAGUUUUAAAAUUGUAAAUAGGCUACUUGAAUUUGUAUAUAGGAUAAUUGUUUAUGUUGUUGUCUUCCUGUGAUGUGUUCUGUUCCAUAGUGCUUCAUUGGAUGCGGGGACAAUUUUCACAGUUCUUGCAACAUUGAGGAUCAUGUCAGAACUAGUUAGGAUGAUCCCUGAAGCUCUCUCUAUUCUUAUCCAAGUUGUGGUAUCUUUCGAUCGGCUCAAUACCUUUUUGCUUACUGAAGAGUUAGGCAGUAAUGAAAUUAUAAGGAGUGUUAAGCAAAGUUCAGUUGGUGACAACAAUGCUGUAGAAAUUGAAGGUGGAAACUUUACUUGGGAUUCCAGACCACCUGUAAAGGUGAUUCCAUGAUUAUUUUUCUUCAGGUUUUAUUUAUGCCCACUAUAUGAGUUCUUAUUGCUUUUUUGUUUGAUGUGCAUAAGAUGAACUUGGUUGACUGGUUUAAGGGAAUGGUAACAAGUCGUCGCAACGAUGA